rnacentral:lncRNA from 1 species
ACUCAUGUUCACAGUCUAUGCCAUCACUCCACCAAGACUGUUAAUGGCCCCUCUGGGAAACUGUGGUGCAACAGCCGUGGGGCUUUCCAGAACAUGAUCUGUGCAUCUGUUGGUGCUGCCAAGGCUGAGGGCAAGGUCAUCUCUGAGCUGAAUGGGAAGCUCAAUGGCAUGGCCUUCCAUGUCCCCACCAUCGUGUCAGUGGUGACCUGACCUGCCAUCUGGAUAAACCUGCCAAAUAUGACAUCAAAAAGGUGGUGAAGCAGGCAUCGGAGGGCCCCUUCAUCUGGGCUACACUAAGCACCAGGCUGUCUCCUCUGACUUUAACAGUGACACCCCCUCUUCUACUUUUGGGGCUGGCAUCGCCCUCAACAACCACUUUGUCAAGCCCAUUUCCUGGUAUGACAGUGAAUUAGGCUGCAGCAACAGGGUGGUGGACUCAUGGUCCACAUGGCCUCC